UCUGGGACAUGGACUUCUCUACUGUCCACUUCCCAAACCCACACACUUGGCACCACAUCUUUAUGGUAAUGCUGUUUUCCCCUGAUUCCUGAAACACUGACCACCUCUGCCUUCCUGUCUGAUGAUCCCCACUGCUUAGCCACUGCUCCUUGUCCAGUGCUUUGCCUGUUUCUUAUGGGUUUCAGGCAACACAGUUGCUGAAUUGAUGAAACUUAAAGAUGGCCAGCCAAGCAUUACCUCAAACAGCUAUAAAUUUCACUGGAGUCCUAUG